rnacentral:hammerhead_ribozyme from 1 species
GCACUGUUGAAGAGUCCCAUAAUAGGAUGAAACGACCGUCCAGUGC